UAAGUCAGCCACGAAUAGGCUAUCCCAACUAACGGCGGGAAAGACUCCACGGAGGGUGUAAGACCCGUGUGGGCGCGUGUUAAAGCUGUGCGGGCUCGGCCUCUUUUCCCUGAGAGUCGCGUUGCUUGAGAUUGCAGCGCUAAGCAGGUCGUAAACUCGAUCUAAGGCUAAAUAUCUCCACAGAACCGAUAGCGAACAAGUACCGUGAGGGAAAGUUGAAAAGCACUCUGGAGAGAGAGUCAAAAGACCGUGAAACCGCUCAGAGUAUAAGCCCAUGGCAGCUUGGAAGGCAUAUCGAAAGCGGGGCAUCGGUCUGCCUUCGCGGGGAGCCGGUGUUACCUUGAUUCUGUUGUGGCUCGUCAAGGUAGGGGGGUCAGGUCCACAUCCCGCCAUCGUGUGGGGGGUUCUUGGGUGUGUUGUGGUUUGUCGGUUGGCUUCGGCCUUCAGGCGGGCUCUUCGUGCUCGGUUCCUCUUUAGACACGGACGUUCAGACUCAGAUUCAAGACGCGAUAAACAGCCCACCACGGCACGUUGUGAGGUCACCCACAGGCUCGACUUUCGAUUGUGAGCCUUGACGCUGAGCUAGCACUAUGCGUGUCGCUGAGGUUCCUAACCAGGCAACUGUGCCAGGAUCGUGGAACGACACGCGCUCAACAGUCAGGCUCGGGCGGAGACAGAGUUCUGGUAUGAUCCUCUUGCGACGAGCCGCCUUCUGGCCUACAUCCGAUGCUCAGGUCUCCCGCAUGUGCCGCGGGAGAUCGCCUUGACGGUCUGGA
rnacentral:rRNA from 1 species